rnacentral:tRNA from 1 species
UCCCUGGUGGUCAAGUGGUUUAAGACUCCACCCUUCCAAUGUAAAGGGCAUGGGUUCAAACCCUGGUCAGGGAA